AACGAACGCUGGCGGCAUGCCUAACACAUGCAAGUCGAACGAGACCUUCGGGUCUAGUGGCGCACGGGUGCGUAACGCGUGGGAACCUGCCCUUAGGUUCGGAAUAACUCCCCGAAAGGGGUGCUAGUACCGGAUAAUGUCUUCGGACCAAAGAUUUAUCGCCUUUGGAUGGGCCCGCGUUGGAUUAGCUAGUUGGUAGGGUAAAAGCCUACCAAGGCGACGAUCCAUAGCUGGUCUGAGAGGAUGAUCAGCCACACUGGGACUGAGACACGGCCCAGACUCCUACGGGAGGCAGCAGUGGGGAAUAUUGGACAAUGGGCGAAAGCCUGAUCCAGCAAUGCCGGGUGAGUGAUGAAGGCCGUAGGGUUGUAAAGCUCUUUUACCCGGGAUGAUAAUGACAGUACCGGGAGAAUAAGCUCCGGCUAACUCCGUG
rnacentral:rRNA from 1 species